rnacentral:lncRNA from 1 species
UUCUCUCUAAUACAAAGCUUCCUUUAGCGAUUCUCUUGUGUUCUUUCUUCCAUUCUCUUAGUGAUCUUGAGUGUAGUAUGGCUGACUUGGCAUAGCAAGUACAUGAUCAAGUUGUGCAAGAUCGUAAGUAAAUUGUCAAGUGCCGCACGUGUAUUUAGUUAAGAACUAAGGACGUGACACAUAUCUGAAAAUAGCGCUUCAUUUGUGAAAUUUAAAUCUCUAGAAUAUUUACUAUGUUUCAAAGAUACGGCUGAUAAUUGGCCGGUGUGUGCUAUUUCCACAAUAGAUUUCGACAUUGAAAGACCAUUUGAUGAUCCACUGACCCAAUAUAGUAUGUAGAAAUUGCAUGGGCGUCCUAUUUGGACGCCCCCAUUUAAUCUAUACCCGUUUGUUUAAAAAAAUUUAAUUUGUAUCUAUUUUUUUUUAAAAGGAUCAGCUCUUUUUCUCCGUUGCAGCUCCAUUUUAGCUUGUGCUUCUUUUACUUUCCUUCUCUUCUGCUUUGUCCUUGCUGCUGC